rnacentral:pre_miRNA from 1 species
CAUUGUGCGCUACAGAGGCAGUGAUGUCAGUUUGUUGUGUGACACGAGACGACAACAACUAACAUCACUGCCAAGGAAACGC